AGGUGCGAUCAUACCAGCACUAAUGCACCGGAUCCCAUCAGAACUCCGCAGUUAAGUGCUGGGGAGAGAGUAGUACUAGGAUGGGUGACCUCCUGGGACGAAGUCCUUGUGUUGCACCUU